GGACGAACGCUGGCGGCGUGCCUAAUACAUGCAAGUCGAGCGGACUUGAUGGAGUGCUUGCWCUCCUGAUGSUUAGCGGCGGACGGGUGAGUAACACGUAGGUAACCUGCCCAUAAGACUGGGAUAACUACCGGAAACGGUAGCUAAUACCGGAUAGGUUCUUCUCUCGCAUGGGAGGRGAAAGAAAGACGGAGCAAUCUGUCACUUAUGGAUGGACCUGCGGCGCAUUAGCUAGUUGGUGAGGUAACGGCUCACCAAGGCGACGAUGCGUAGCCGACCUGAGAGGGUGAUCGGCCACACUGGGACUGAGACACGGCCCAGACUCCUACGGGAGGCAGCAGUAGGGAAUCUUCCGCAAUGGGCGAAAGCCUGACGGAGCAACGCCGCGUGAGUGAUGAAGGUUUUCGGAUCGUAAAGCUCUGUUGCCAGGGAAGAACGUCCUUAAGAGUAACUGCUUARGGAGUGACGGUACCUGAGAAGAAAGCCCCGGCUAACUAC
rnacentral:rRNA from 1 species